rnacentral:rRNA from 1 species
UACGUAGGGGGCUAGCGUUGUCCGGAAUCAUUGGGCGUAAAGCGCGUGUAGGCGGUCCGGUAAGUCCGCUGUGAAAGCCAGGGGCUCAACCCUUGGAUGCCGGUGGAUACUGUCGGGCUUGAGUACGGAAGAGGCGAGUGGAAUUCCUGGUGUAGCGGUGAAAUGCGCAGAUAUCAGGAGGAACACCAAUUGCGAAGGCAGCUCGCCGGGACGUUACUGACGCUGAGACGCGAAAGCGUGGGGAGCAAACAGG